rnacentral:rRNA from 1 species
GACGAACGCUGGCGGCGUGCCUAAUACAUGCAAGUCGAGCGCUGAAGGUUGGUACUUGUACCGACUGGAUGAGCAGCGAACGGGUGAGUAACGCGUGGGGAACCUGCCUUUGAGCGGGGGACAACAUUCGGAAACGAAUGCUAAUACCGCAUCAAACCUUUAAACACAAGUUUUAAGGUUGAAAGAUGCAAUUGCAUCACCAAAAGCUGAUCCCGCGUUGUAUUAGCUAGUUGGGGAGGUAAAGGCCCACCAAGGCGAUGGUACAUAGCCGACCUGAGAAGGUGAUCGGCCACAUUGGGACUGAGACACGGCCCAAGCCCCCACGGGAGGCAGCAGUAGGGGAACUUCGGCAAUGGACGAAAGUCUGACCGAGCAACGCCGCGUGAGUGAAGAAGGUUUUCGGAUCGUAAAACUAUGUUGAUAGAGAAGAACGUUGGUGAGAGUGGAAAGCUCAUCAAGUGACGGUACCUACCCAGAAAGGGACGGCUAACUUCGUG